GCCCUGAUGGACAGAUGGGGUUCUCAGACACCAGGAGCCAUCGCAAGCAGCUUCGCUGGGUCAUCAUGGAGGCUAGAUCUGCUCUCCUGCAGAUCUUAAAGAUCUGCAGAUCUUUACCUUAGUGGUAAAAGGAACAAAAGGCAGCCACCCAAGCAUCCUGCCAGACCUUUCUGGAAAGCAGGAGGCCGCCACCUGCCAGGCCCUGAUGCAGACAGACAGCUCGGAUGAGAGAAUGGGCUCACUGCGACUACCGUGCCUCCAGCUCGACCCGGAAUAAUCACACCAGAUGCCAGGGACCCGCUGCUCGGACCACUUGUCCUCACUGUGGGGCAAAGGGGAAGCCGCUCCUGAUGCGGGGAUGUCACCAAAUACAAGUAAAGGCUGUGGCUGGUUUCAGCUCCAAGAAGCCGAGGCUUGAAAUCGGUUCCUCAACCCGACAUCAA